rnacentral:rRNA from 1 species
GAUGAACGCUAGCGGCAGGCUUAAAUACAUGCAAGUCAAGGGGGUAGCAAUACAACCGGCGCACGGGUGAGUAACGCGUACACAACAUACCAUCUACUGGGGUAUAGCUUUGGGAAACUGAAGGUAAUCCCCCAUAACAUUGCGAGAGGGCAUCUGAUUGCAAUUAAAGUUUCGGCGGUAUAUGAUUGGUGUGCGUUUGAUUAGCUAGUUGGUAGGGUAACGGCCUACCAAGGCGACGAUCAAUAGCUGGCGUGAGAGCGCGACCAGCCACACUGGAACUGAGACACGGUCCAGACUCCUACGGGAGGCAGCAGUAGGGAAUAUUGGACAAU